GACGAACGCUGGCGGCGUGCUUAACACAUGCAAGUCGAACGGAAAGGCCCUGCUUUUGUGGGGUGCUCGAGUGGCGAACGGGUGAGUAACACGUGAGUAACCUGCCCUUGACUUUGGGAUAACUUCAGGAAACUGGGGCUAAUACCGGAUAGGAGCUCCUGCUGCAUGGUGGGGGUUGGAAAGUUUCGGCGGUUGGGGAUGGACUCGCGGCUUAUCAGCUUGUUGGUGGGGUAGUGGCUUACCAAGGCUUUGACGGGUAGCCGGCCUGAGAGGGUGACCGGCCACAUUGGGACUGAGAUACGGCCCAGACUCCUACGGGAGGCAGCAGUGGGGAAUAUUGCACAAUGGGCGGAAGCCUGAUGCAGCAACGCCGCGUGCGGGAUGACGGCCUUCGGGUUGUAAACCGCUUUCGCCUGUGACGAAGCGUGAGUGACGGUAAUGGGUAAAGAAGCACCGGCUAACUACGUGCCAGCAGCCGCGGUGAUACGUAGGGUGCGAGCGUUGUCCGGAUUUAUUGGGCGUAAAGGGCUCGUAGGUGGUUGAUCGCGUCGGAAGUGUAAUCUUGGGGCUUAACCCUGAGCGUGCUUUCGAUACGGGUUGACUUGAGGAAGGUAGGGGAGAAUGGAAUUCCUGGUGGAGCGGUGGAAUGCGCAGAUAUCAGGAGGAACACCAGUGGCGAAGGCGGUUCUCUGGGCCUUUCCUGACGCUGAGGAGCGAAAGCGUGGGGAGCGAACAGGCUUAGAUAUCCUGGUAGUCCACGCUGUAAACGGUGGGUACUAGGUGUGGGGUCCAUUCCACGGGUUCCGUGCCGUAGCUAACGCUUUAAGUACCCCGCCUGGGGAGUACGGCCGCAAGGCUAAAACUCAAAGGAAUUGACGGGGCCCCGCACAAGCGGCGGAGCAUGCGGAUUAAUUCGAUGCAACGCGUAGAACCUUACCUGGGUUUGACAUGGAUCGGGAGCGCUCAGAGAUGGGUGUGCCUCUUUUGGGGUCGGUUCACAGGUGGUGCAUGGCUGUCGUCAGCUCGUGUCGUGAGAUGUUGGGUUAAGUCCCGCAACGAGCGCAACCCUUGUUCACUGUUGCCAGCACGUUAUGGUGGGGACUCAGUGGAGACCGCCGGGGUCAACUCGGAGGAAGGUGGGGAUGACGUCAAGUCAUCAUGCCCCUUAUGUCCAGGGCUUCACGCAUGCUACAAUGGCUGGUACAGAGAGUGGCGAGCCUGUGAGGGUGAGCGAAUCUCGGAAAGCCGGUCUCAGUUCGGAUUGGGGUCUGCAACUCGACCUCAUGAAGUCGGAGUCGCUAGUAAUCGCAGAUCAGCAACGCUGCGGUGAAUACGUUCCCGGGGCU
rnacentral:rRNA from 1 species